GGCCUGAUGGUCUAGUAGUAUGAUUCCUUGUUAGGGCGUUGUUGCGAAAGCGACUUGCAAUAUCGAGGAGGUCCCGGGUUCAAUUCCCGGUCAGGCCC